rnacentral:siRNA from 1 species
AGGCAAUCAGACGUUGAGGUAGAG